rnacentral:lncRNA from 1 species
GACUUACUGGGAAGUCCUCACCCCAACCUUAGAGCUGGCAUAGUGUGGAUUUUGAACGGUACCAAAAGAACCUUGCUGUGGUCCUUUUUCAAGAAACAUCUAAAGACAAGAAAUAUAGACUUGCAAAGGACUUUAUAAGUGGCUAUAAUAACACCCAGCAAAAUAACUAUGGUGAUUACUAAUUUGUUGAAAGAAUGAAUGCAUUGAACACCUUUCUCCUUGUCCUGCAUCAAAGUAAAGGUAGGAUUUCAACUUCUGGAAACUGGUGAAUUAAACUGAACAGCUAGUAUUGAGGCA